GAUGAACGCUAGCGGCAGGCUUAACACAUGCAAGUCGAGGGGUAGAGGUUGCUUGCAACCUUGAGACCGGCGCACGGGUGCGUAACGAGUAUGCAACCUACAUUUUACAGAGGGAUAGCCCAGAGAAAUUUGGAUUAAUACCUCAUAGUAUAUAUCUUUCGCAUGUUAGGUAUAUUAAAGUUCCAACGGUAAAAGAUGGGCAUGCUUCCUAUUAGCUAGAUGGUAAGGUAACGGGUUACCAUGGCUAAGAUAGGUAGGGGUCCUGAGAGGGAGAUCCCCAACACUGGUACUGAGACACGGACCAGAAUCCUACGGGAGACAGCAGUGAGGAAUAUUGGACAAUGGGCGCAAGCCUGAUCCAGCCAUGCCGCGUGCAGGAAGAAGCAUCUAUGGUGUGUAAACUGCUUUUGUACAGGAAGAAACAUCCCGACGUGUCGGGACUUGACGGUACUGUAAGAAUAAGGAUCGGCUAACUCCGUGCCAGCAGCCGCGGUAACAC
rnacentral:rRNA from 1 species